GAUGAAGAACGUAGCAAAAUGCGAUAAGUAAUGUGAAUUGCAGAAUUCAGUGAAUCAUCGAGUCUUUGAACGCACAUUGCGCCCUCUGGUAUUCCGGAGGGCAUGCCUGUCCGAGCGUCAUUGCUGCCCUCAAGCACGGCUUGUGUGUUGGGCCCCGUCCUCCUUCCGGGGGACGGGUCCGAAAGGCAGCGGCGGCACCGCGUCCGGUCCUCAAGCGUAUGGGGCUUUGUCACUCGCUUUGUAGGCCUGGCCGGCGCUUGCCGAUCAACCAAACUUUUUAUCAGGUUGACCUCGGAUCAGGUAGGGAUACCCGCUGAACUUAAGCAUAUCAAUAAGCGGAGGA
rnacentral:misc_RNA from 1 species